rnacentral:rRNA from 1 species
GAUGAACGCUGGCGGCGUGCCUAAUACAUGCAAGUCGAGCGAACGGACGAGAAGCUUGCUUCUCUGAUGUUAGCGGCGGACGGGUGAGCAACACGUGGAUAACCUACCUAUAAGACUGGGAUAACUUCGGGAAACCGGAGCUAAUACCGGAUAAUAUUUUGAACCGCAUGGUUCAAAAGUGAAAGACGGUCUUGCUGUCACUUAUAGAUGGAUCCGCGCUGCAUUAGCUAGUUGGUAAGGUAACGGCUUACCAAGGCAACGAUGCAUAGCCGACCUGAGAGGGUGAUCGGCCACACUGGAACUGAGACACGGUCCAGACUCCUACGGGAGGCAGCAGUAGGGAAUCUUCCGCAAUGGGCGAAAGCCUGACGGAGCAACGCCGCGUGAGUGAUGAAGGUCUUCGGAUCGUAAAACUCUGUUAUUAGGGAAGAACAUAUGUGUAAGUAACUGUGCACAUCUUGACGGUACCUAAUCAGAAAGCCACGGCUAACUACGUGCCAGCAGCCGCGGUAAUACGUAGGUGACAAGCGUUAUCCGGAAUUAUUGGGCGUAAAGCGCGCGUAGGCGGUUUUUUAAGUCUGAUGUGAAAGCCCACGGCUCAACCGUGGAGGGUCAUUGGAAACUGGAAAACUUGAGUGCAGAAGAGGAAAGUGGAAUUCCAUGUGUAGCGGUGAAAUGCGCAGAGAUAUGGAGGAACACCAGUGGCGAAGGCGACUUUCUGGUCUGUAACUGACGCUGAUGUGCGAAAGCGUGGGGAUCAAACAGGAUUAGAUACCCUGGUAGUCCACGCCGUAAACGAUGAGUGCUAAGUGUUAGGGGGUUUCCGCCCCUUAGUGCUGCAGCUAACGCAUUAAGCACUCCGCCUGGGGAGUACGACCGCAAGGUUGAAACUCAAAGGAAUUGACGGGGACCCGCACAAGCGGUGGAGCAUGUGGUUUAAUUCGAAGCAACGCGAAGAACCUUACCAAAUCUUGACAUCCUUUGACAACUCUAGAGAUAGAGCCUUCCCCUUCGGGGGACAAAGUGACAGGUGGUGCAUGGUUGUCGUCAGCUCGUGUCGUGAGAUGUUGGGUUAAGUCCCGCAACGAGCGCAACCCUUAAGCUUAGUUGCCAUCAUUAAGUUGGGCACUCUAAGUUGACUGCCGGUGACAAACCGGAGGAAGGUGGGGAUGACGUCAAAUCAUCAUGCCCCUUAUGAUUUGGGCUACACACGUGCUACAAUGGACAAUACAAAGGGCAGCGAAACCGCGAGGUCAAGCAAAUCCCAUAAAGUUGUUCUCAGUUCGGAUUGUAGCCUGCAACUCGACUACAUGAAGCUGGAAUCGCUAGUAAUCGUAGAUCAGCAUGCUACGGUGAAUACGUUCCCGGGUCU